GCAUCCAUAGCUCAGCUGGAUAGAGUACUCGGCUACGAACCGAGCGGUCGGAGGUUCGAAUCCUCCUGGAUGCACUA
rnacentral:tRNA from 1 species